CUUAGAGCGAUCUAGGCUGGCAGGCAGGCGUCAGCUACGUCAUGGUUGAGUGUGCGGACUCUGGGGUCAGAUUGACCUCGGUCUAAACCGAGCUCUGCCACUUCCCAGCUGGCUGCCUUGUGAUAAGCCUUAGCUCCAGGGCAGCUUGGUGGUACAUAGGUGCCUGGUACAUAGUAAGUGCUCACCUGUUAACGAUUAUUAGCUUUCAUGCAGUUAGUCAACAAACAGGUCCAGGGUGAGGCCCUCGAAACACAAGGACAAAUGAGACAGUUUCAGUGUCACUCACUUGCUCACUCAGAAUUCACUCCUCUUUGCUGUCUGCCCUGUGCUUGGGGUUGGACAAAUAGUCAUUCUUAUUACAGGUCAUACUCAGUGAGCUCUUACUCUGUGCUAGGUGCUCUUCCCAGCACUCUUACGUGUUGUAAGUCACAACUGUACCACUAGGUGAGAGAGAUUAGGUAACUUGCCUGAGCUCACACAGCCUGAAGGUGGCAAUGCUGGGAUUCAAACCAGGUCAGAGGCUGCCCUUAAAUAUGACACUGGUCAGAGAUGAAUGUGUCUUUGCUCUUGCCAAGUCAUGGUCUAGUGGAGAGGCGAUGGGGCAGUGGUGAUGAUGGCGUUGUGGGGCUCAGGGUCUUGGGGCGGACUCUGGGCGGCCUGCCCAAAUGUGUUCCUUGGGCAGUCAAGGCCACCUGGUGGCACCCAGAGGAAGUGGAUCUUGGUUCACGAAUCCCUUGCUGGCCAAGGCCAGUGUUCAAGCAGAUGUGUCCCCCGGCCCAGGGUCCCAGGUCAGGGACCGAGGAGGAGGACUUCCGAGCCUGCCCUCUCCCUGUUCCUUUUUCAGACCCACGUAUCCUAGCCUCCUUGCAGAGCAGGCUGCCUUCUAGUCCCUUCUCCCUUCUCGGUUCCUCCUCUCCUGGCCACCGUGUCUGCCUGCUUACUGUCCUGCCCCGCAGCUCUCAGACCCUUCUCUCUCUCUCUGACUCCCUGUCCUGGUACUUCCCUGGGCCCCACAGAGGGAGGCGUAUUUUGCACGGCUACGGCGGGCUCACCAGGUAGGCCUGUGAUCUGAGUGAUGUGACCUGGAGUGCUGUGUUCUUGGAUGCCCUCAGCCCCGCAUGGGGAGGUGCCCAGUACCCACGGCAGUGUGGGUCCUCGUGGACCCGGGUUGGGCCCAAUGGCCCAUGGUCAGGGCACUGCUUUGCCCAAACCCUGGGAUGGCAGGAAUUUGCCAGGAGGGGUGUGUGCCUCAUCUGCUGUGUGGUCUGGUCCUGGUGCCAGUUGUCUGUGGCCAGAAAGGUGGCAGGGAAACUAACAUGAUGCUAAACCACGUGACUAUACCUGGCCCACCAGGUUACCCUAGCACUGCCUCUCAAGCAGCCUCCAUUAACCACCUGUGUGUGUAUGGCCCUCAAGCGGCCCGGAGUUAACCCCAGCGUGCCAGCCUGGGGAGGGGAGCAUGCAUCUUUUUUCCCAGUCAAUGUGGGCCUUUCUGGCCACCAUAUCCAUGGGGAGAGAACACUCACCAGGGCUCUAGCUCUGGGGCUCAGAGGUUCUGAGCUGGCCUGUGCCCUCUACCCGUCAGAACCGCACGUCCCUCUCAGAGGAGCAGUUGCGGGCAGCUGUGACAGCGGGGAGGAUCCCGGGGCCCCCACGGGGCAAGGGCUGGGCACAGCAGCCAUCACAGGUGGAUGAGGCCCAGAGGCGGAUGGAUGCUGAGAUCUGGCAGCUCCUUUCCAGUUUUGCUGCCCACCCCCCUCCCCCUCCCCAGAGACUCUCUCCCCAUCCCCAGCCUGCAGCUGCUCUGCAAGAAGCUCCACCCUCCUCUCCCUCCUCCUCUUCUUCCUCCAUCUCUUCCUCCUUCUCCUCCUCCACUUCCCUGUCUUCCUCAGCAGGCUCUCAGUUCUCUCUGUCCUACGAAGGCUUCUCUCUGCUUCCUGAAAGACUCUAUUAUUGGCAGCUGCCCAAAGCCUUCCUGGGGAACAAGGUAACAAGGAUUUGGGGGGAGGUAACAGGGGUUCCAUAGAAUCCUAAAAUAUCCAAAGGCACUUUGUCAAAGGACACAGAUGCGUGGACCAAGGCUCAGAGAGGGCGCCCACAUCCAGGUCAAAGCUGGGCUAUGAUUGAACCCAGCUCUACUCUUACCCUUCAGCGGGCCGCAAGCCCUGGCAGAGGGGCUCUCUCCUGGGAGGUAAAACACCCUUCUUUGGGCUCCUUGUCCCCUGUAUCCAGAUCACUGACCUAGCUCUGGGCACUACAUUCAUUCAUUCAAGAAGCAUAAAUUGGUACUUAACUGUGUGCUGUAUUGUGUGUAGGCGGAGCAAGACCCUGGCCUCCCAGAGCUCCUGUUAGUCUGAUUAUCCUUCCUGCCAUCAACAGCAUCAGCCUCUGCAUUGUCAUUAUUAUUAUUAGCACUGCAUUAUUGUUAGUGUUGUUCCAAAAGUGACUGCCUGCCUCUUAAGAAUACACACAGUAUACAGUAAAAUAACAUUCAGAGAAGCAGACAAGACAGCCUGGUCCAGGGGGAAAUGAAGAUCGGGAAGAUCUGCUGGAGCGAAGGGUAGAGAUGGGUGCAGUGAGGAGUUAGCAAGCAUUGAGGCUGUGUGUUCGGCUGGCCCUGUGCUGAGUGCAGGAUGUUACAUGGCCUAUAUUACUUAAUCCUCAUCCUGCCUUUCAAGGGAGGUAUUGUUUGUAUUCCCAUUUCCAUAUGAGGAAAGUUGAGCUCAGAGAAAUGAAGUGACUUGUCCAAGGCUAUCUAGCCAGUAGAGCUGGACUUGAACUCUGCUCUUAGACUGCAGAAUCUGCUCCCUUAGCCACCAGCUUGGUCCUAGACAUGGCAAUGAACUUGGGCAUCCAAAGCAAACGGGAAACCAGCUGUUUCAUGGUUAUCUGGUUGUGCCCCUGAAUUCCCUACCUCGCCCUGAGCUUACAGAGAACAUUCUCAGAGCUUGUGUAGCCUGGGGCCUGGCAUGCAGUCAGUAGAUGUUUGAUAAAUGCUUAUCAACUGAAAGAACACAAAUGAACAAAUGGGCUAGGCCUGCCACAGUGUGGUAUUGAUCUGAACAUCUGCCCUGUUGGCAGAGGAGAGAAAGGAAAAUCCUGUGGGCAGAGCUGGGGCCUUACUGCCCACAUGCAGGUGCCCAGCAGCAGGUGUAAGGACUCUUACAGUUGUAAGCAGUAGAAUACCCAGCUCCAGCUGGCUUGUCCGCAACAAAGAAUCUUUUGGCUCGUGUAACUACAAAGCCCAAGGAUAUCAGGCAUGGCUGGAUCCAGGAGCUCAUUAGGACUUUAUCUCAGUUGGAGCCAUUCUCCAACUUCUGAUCUGACUAGUAAAGGAAGUUUCUCUGUGCCAGUGGAAAGAGCAGAAGUACCAGGUUCACACAUUCAUCCCUGAUGGAGCAGAGACAGUGAGUGGUGGAAUAUGCAGAUGAGCCAGACCUGGCUCAUGUCUCCACUGCAGAGGAGGGGGCGGGCCCCUCAAACCACAUGGCCUCCCUGUAGAACAGUUCCCUUUAAAGGAAACCAGGACUGCAGUUCGCAAAAACGGGAGAAAUGGAUUCUGAACAAACAAACAAAAACCCUAUCUACCCAGGAGGCAAACGCUCUAAGUGGCUACCUUCAGGACCCUCCACCCCACCCCAACAACGGCUGAGAACUUUUGAACCUUCUACAACCUCCCCUGGUGGUCACUGCCAUUACCUCAUUCUGCUUUAUGGGAAAUUCCUUUAACGGAAGGGACUUGGAGUUUGUUUGCUGGAAUUGUCAGAUGAUGGGACAUGGGGAACCGCAUAUAACAGAAAAGAGGCUUCUCAGGCUCACUGCCACCAGGUCUGAGACUGAAGAAACUGAGAGAUAUCCUCUCACUUGGGCAACCUCUGGCCUCUGGUUGAGUGGGGGUGGGGGGGACAGCACAGGUGCAAAAGGGCCUGGAGAGGCUCCGCCCCCUCACCUGUGUGGUCCCACACACCCCAGAAGAGGGCAGUCAGGUUGUGAAUGC